rnacentral:lncRNA from 1 species
ACAUAUAGAGGACAUAAAACACCAUCACCAAACAUCAGGGGCCUACUUAAUUAUUUGGAAAUGAUGGAGAAUCCCAUAAUUGUCUGUGGAGACUUCACCAAAGACCACCUCUUGUCUGGAAGAAAGCCCAUUCUGGAGUUGUUCCAAUCCCUACUAUACAAACAGCUCAUCUCCAUGGCCACCACAAAGAAACGAACAUUGGCCUACGUCUUUGACAUGAAGUCAGUGUGCCACACAGAACCGGGAGACAAAAGACCUGGAUAGAGCCUGAUUAUCAGCCACUCGUCUUUUACUUGGUGGUGUGUGCACAGUUGCGUGAAGGCGGUGUGUCGUACCUGAGGUGGAUGCUGUGUGAUGAGAGUAGAGUAGGGUCAGCAGCAAGGGACAUCAGGAGGAUAUUGUGGCAUCUUCAAAGUUUACAAAGGGCAGUGACAGCAGCAACAGUUGUGGCGAUGCUGGUUCGAGCCUCAGCUGGGUCAGUUGGUGUUUCUGUGUGCAAGAUGCAAGAACAGGAUGGAUGAAAAAGCAAACUAACCCUGUCAUGGGUAAAAAAAGACAACCUGCUAGGCACCAUACAAGUUGCAUUGAUAGGGAGUCUGCAUAAUGUUGAUCAAAAAUGUGGAUGUCAAAGAUGGACUUGUCAAUGGAUGCUUUGGAAACAUUGGAAACAUUGUGACCAAAACAAAAUACAGACUUGCAUUUGUGCACAUGCUUGGAAAUCAGUCGACAAUCCAAAUGCUGGCCAGAAAUACAUACGACAACAACUGCAAGGUGAAGAGGACACUUUACAUCAAAAGAUCAGAGGAAACUCUUAAGAAAGAAGCAGUCUGUCAACAAUUUCCAAUCAAGAUGGCUUACGCAUGCACCACUCACAAAGUUCAAGGCAUGACCAUGCAAUCGGCUGUCAAAAAUCACAACCGCGUUGGAGAGGACAAAAAA